rnacentral:snoRNA from 1 species
AUUUUAACAUGUGAGCACUUUAUGUACAUCUCUGUAUCUCUCUCCCAUGCUUCAUGAAACACUUCAUUAGGCUUCUGUGUGAAUGUUAAAAUCUCUCUCUUGUAAUU